rnacentral:tRNA from 1 species
ACCGAGGUAGAGGAAUCAGGCUAACUCACCGUGCUCAUGACUCGGAGAUUGCAGGUUCAAAUCCUGUCCUCGGUA